UAUUCUUCAUGAAGAAACAUCUCAUUUUAACAAUAUUUCUAUAUUUAAGAUUUUGUGUUAAAUCCGACAAAGUGUAAUAUACAAGAGGAGGUUUUUAAACUCUCUGAGGGUCUUGGCUGUGAUGUUUAUAUAGAAGCUACAGGGGCAGGCAGCUCAGUAAGGCAAGGUCUGAAAGUGAUUGCAAGGCAUGGCACCUUUGUAGAAUUUUCUGUUUUUGGCGGGGAAAUAUCAGCUGAUUGGAGCAUUAUUGGUAAACUAUAAACUACAUCCAUCUACACACGUACUCGGGAGUCGGGUUCAUCCUAUAAGUACUGGUGCAGACAUUAUGGGAAGCUGGGGCAAUUUGUACGGUACACAGCACACACACAGACUAUAGACGGUUAAAGUGGGACGGUAAACCAAUUAUAAACCAACUCCAUCUUGUAAGAGUAUUGUGACAUAGCUCUAAAUAUUUUACUGCAACUACACAGUACCUGUUGUGAUGGCUUGGAUAAUGCAACUUUUAGAAUGGGGUCAAAAGUGUACAAUUCAAGCUCUGUCUAAAUGUCAGUCCAUUACUUCUAAUGAACCGGAAUUUUCAGUGCAACACUAGCUAGGCCGAUUUGGGUUUUUUUGUUCUUUUUACCUUUCUAAAUUUCCAAUUCCAGCUCUCUUAUGCGAAGUUUAUAAUAUUUUAUUUGCAUUUACAAACUAAAAAUAGGUUAACGCCGAUCUCUAUAUAUAAAUAUGAAAGCUUUUAGCUCCGAUAUAUGAGUUAGCUAUUGCUGACCAAACUGCUGAACCAAAAUGGUUGGCAUUUCUUUUCAAAAAUUCAGUUUUUUUUUAAAUUCACCUUUUUUCAAAGGUUUUUAAAAUUAUUUUUGUUACAGAUUAUACCAAAAUAUUUAAAUUUUUGAAACUUAAAAAGAAGAAAAUCAAUAAUCCAUAGCAUUUUAACUACUGGGUAUCCGAAAAUACAAACACAGUGUAAAGCAUCGCGUCUUUGAUCGUAAGAUUUUUAUUUAAUGGAAUUGUUAUAAAUUUAAAUUUAAAAUUUAAAAAAAACAUACCCGAUUCACAACGGUACCCUUUAAACCGUAAUCCGAGAAAAAAAUGGGUAUUAGAACUUAGUUUUUUCUGGAUAUAAAAAGUUAAAAGUGGCUAAUUCUGAUAAUUUCUCCAUUGUUUCUAAAGCAAGAAAAAUGCAAGUCACUCUUGAAGAAAAACCACAAAAGAAAGUAAUUAGUUUUCAACAAACAAAAACAUGGAUUUCUAAUUUAUCAGGAUAAGACAAAGCUUUCUAUGGGACCUAUGAAAAUCUGACAUGCCACUUUAUCAAUGGACGCUCAUUUUAAAUUACGUUUACAGUCAAUUUAAUAUAAACGUCGACAAUUUUAGACAUUCCUAAAGAAUAUCCUAAUAUCGUCUAUAAAAUUGCAUGUUUAUUAGGACUCCGUCUUUGACAAUAACUUUCGUGUUUUUAUAUAAAAAAUUACC